AACGCACAUUGCGCCCUUUGGUAUUCCGAAGGGCAUGCCUGUUCGAGCGUCAUUAUAACCACUCAAGCCUUUGCUUGGUCUUGGGGUGCGCGGUCUCGCGGCUCCUAAAAUCAGUGGCGGUGCCCGUCGGCUCUACGCGUAGUAAUACUCCUCGCGUCUGGGUCCGCUGGGUAGCUUGCCAACAACCCCCCAAAAUUUUUACAGGUUGACCUCGGAUCAGGUAGGGAUACCCGCUGAACUUAA
rnacentral:misc_RNA from 1 species